UACGUAGGGGGCUAGCGUUGUCCGGAUUUAUUGGGCGUAAAGAGCGUGUAGGCGGCCAGGUAGGUCUGCUGUGAAAACUCGAGGCUCAACCUCGAGACGUCGGCGGAAACCAUCUGGCUAGAGUCCGGAAGAGGAGAGUGGAAUUCCUGGUGUAGCGGUGAAAUGCGCAGAUAUCAGGAAGAACACCCGUGGCGAAGGCGGCUCUCUGGGACGGUACUGACGCUGAAACGCGAAAGCGUGGGGAGCGAACAGG
rnacentral:rRNA from 1 species